AAAAAGGGGAGCCCAGGGUGAGGGGAGAGGGCCGAGCAGCUCGGAUCUCUGAUGGUGAGCUGUGCAGAGAUGGGGAAGCGCCUCUUUUCCUCUUUCAUGUGGGUGUCAGGGGGGGUCCAGGCCUGAGGGAGCCAAGCUGGAGGAUGCAGGGUUUCGCGUCUGCCUCGGAACUGGAUGUUUGAAAGCAAAGGUGAACGGCCCAGCAGGCCUGCUGGGGCACUGGGAGAACUGGUUUUUGCCAUUUUAGGAAUUGUUUGGCUUUGGCUUUUUUUCUCACUAAGAAAUUGGAAUCUGAAAGAGCCUUUCAGCUUAUUGUUGAAAAUCCAUCAGGACCUGAAAAUUAGAGACCGGGCCUGAGCUUUCAGCACAUUUAAACUCACGGGAGUGAGGUGGAAAAGCCACAGGAUCCACUAAUUUAGAAAAUACGGAGAGGGAAGACAGUGCCUGUCCCCUCCCUGAUUGACCGCAGGUAACCCCUGGUCUCUGUCUACUGAGGCUGAGUGGCCUGUUCUGGGUCUGACUACCCUACCCUGGGGCCUGACUCUGCCCAGCCCCUCGGAACACUCAACAAACGCUUGUGGAAGGAGCGAACAAAUGACAAGUCACUAAACCUAAAUACAGGUAUGUCACAAGAAGCCCUCCAGGCAGCGAGUCACUUAGCACUGCACAGGUAGCAACUUUCUAAAAUAUUUUACCUUUAGUAUUGUCAUUUCAUAUUUCUGUCUUUCUCUUACUUUAGUGUACUAUUUUAUGGUGUCUUAAACCAUCACGCAAUUCCACGGGUAUGCAGCACAAAGAAUUGAGAAGUAAUUCUGCUAAGAGCAGGGGAAUAGUAAUUGAAACUGACACCCAUGUGACACUUUACAGUUUACAAAGUGCAUGGGUCGCAAUUCCAGAGUCUUCAGCUUUGGAGGAGACUGAGGUGCGGACAUGGAAAAGAAGGUCAUUCUCUUGGAGCCACAGCAAUGACCAGGAGAAAUUCAUUUGGCGGUAAAACCACACGAACCCUAUUACAUCACCAAGCCCUCACCGUUUCCAGCACCCAGGGUCUCUACAAAGAGGCAAGCUGGGACUGAAAUCUCUCCCGAGUGUGGAAGACGGACGGGAGCAGCAGCCGGACAGCACAGCUCAAGGCCGAGAGGCUCACUGGGUGACUCGGGCCGCUUUGGGGUGACUGUGAGAAGCGAAGGGAGGCUGACUCGGGGUGUGGUGGGGAGUGAAGCCACCACCUUAUUGCCUAGGCCUUCCCUUGAUGCACUUGGAAAAUAAGUUGCUCUUUCUUCACCGGGUGGGGACAUUAAUUAAUGUUUGCAAAAGUCUUUAUGAUCCUUGUCAAAAGGUGUUCGGCCGGCUCUAAUUAUCCAGGUUUCAGCUGCCACCGCUUCCAUCUCAGCACAGCAUCUCUGCCCUGGAAGAUGUCAAACAAGAUUGCUGUUGUCAGGAUGUGCAUCCGGCUCGUGUGGAUUUCUAUCUGCAUCUCCAAAUACUGCCCAGAUUCCAAAGCCCUGCAAGGGGAUGGUAUCUUGUUUGGGGAGAUGAGACCUGUGCCCCGCCCAGCUCCACCCCGUAAGAAGUCAGCUGCCUGGGAGGUAUAAUUUGAUAAGUUUCUGGAAGGACUCACACAUCCAAAACCAACUCCCCAUGUCUUCUCAUGGGGGCCGGAAAUUCCUCCACUAAAAAUUCACUCCUUCACGGGUCUUCGAUGCUUUCUCAAGCAGUCUAGGACACGGUGGUGGAGGGAGAACCAGCCCAGGAGCCAGGCAGCCUAGCCCUGGGUUUCCUCCUUGUGUGGGUGCUGGCUCUGCCCUUACCGGCCUGGUGACCUGGAUAAACUCAUUCUCUUUCUUUCUCAUUUUUUCCACCUAAAAUGGCGACGCUAAUGCCUGUCUCACGUGCUGUCGUGCAGAUGAGAUGAGAUAAUGGAUGUGAACGCCAAGUGUUUCAGCGACGUAAGCGGCAUUAUCGUUACUGAAAUGUCCCAGCCAGAUCAUCCCCAGGAGGGAUUAAUGGCCCACCAGGACAGGUGGGCACCUGGGGUGGUCGGAAGAGCCAGGAGAACCACAGCAGGGAAAAAGACUUCAGGAAAGGAAAGGAGAGAGACCCCACCGCUGGCACAACCACAGAAGUUUUGGGGAUGAGGAGGGGCUCUAGAUAUUUCCCCACUUCCCCAGACAGC
rnacentral:lncRNA from 1 species